rnacentral:rRNA from 1 species
UAAUACCCUAUAUGCUUUAGAGUGAAAUGAGCUAAGCUCGCCUAAAGAGAAGCUUGCGGCUGAUUAGCUUGUUGGUGAGGUAAAAGCUUACCAAGGCGACGAUCAGUAUCUGGUUUGAGAGGAUGAUCAGACACACUGGAACUGAGACACGGUCCAGACUCCUACGGGAGGCAGCAGUGGGGAAUUUUCCGCAAUGGGCGCAAGCCUGACGGAGCAAUACCGCGUGAGGGAAAUGAAUGCCUAUGGGUUGUAAACCUCUUUUUUCAGGGAGGAAGUAAGUGACGUGUACCUGAAGAAUAAGCAUCGGCUAACUCCGUGCCAGCAGCCGCGGUAAGACGGAGGAUGCAAGUGUUAUCCGGAAUCACUGGGCGUAAAGCGUCUGUAGGUGGUUAAAUAAGUCAACUGUUAAAUCUUGAAGCUCAACUUCAAAACCGCAGUCGAAACUAUUUGACUUGAGUAUAGUAGGGGUAAAGGGAAUUUCCAGUGGAGUGGUGAAAUGCGUAGAUAUUGGAAAGAACACCGAUGGCGAAGGCACUUUACUGGGCUAUUACUAACACUCAGAGACGAAAGCUAGGGUAGCAAAUGGGAUUAGAUACCCCAGUAGUCCUAGCCGUAAACAAUGGAUACUAGAUGUUGAACAGGUCGAUCUG